rnacentral:tRNA from 1 species
GUCCCCAUCGUCUAGAGGCCUAGGACUCUUGGUUUUCAUCCAAGCAACAGGGGUUCGACUCCCCUUGGGGACACCA